rnacentral:rRNA from 1 species
UAGGGAAUCUUCGGCAAUGGGGGCAACCCUGACCGAGCAACGCCGCGUGAGUGAAGAAGGUUUUCGGAUCGUAAAGCUCUGUUGUAAGUCAAGAACGGGUGUGAGAGUGGAAAGUUCACACUGUGACGGUAGCUUACCAGAAAGGGACGGCUAACUACGUGCCAGCAGCCGCGGUAAUACGUAGGUCCCGAGCGUUGUCCGGAUUUAUUGGGCGUAAAGCGAGCGCAGGCGGUUUGAUAAGUCUGAAGUUAAAGGCUGUGGCUCAACCAUAGUUCGCUUUGGAAACUGUCAAACUUGAGUGCAGAAGGGGAGAGUGGAAUUCCAUGUGUAGCGGUGAAAUGCGUAGAUAUAUGGAGGAACACCGGUGGCGAAAGCGGCUCUCUGGUCUGUAACUGACGCUGAGGCUCGAAAGCGUGGGGAGCGAACAGGAUUAGAUACCCUGGUAGUCCACGCCGUAAACGAUGAGUGCUAGGUGUUGGAUCCUUUCCGGGAUUCAGUGCCGCAGCUAACGCAUUAAGCACUCCGCCUGGGG